rnacentral:misc_RNA from 1 species
UAUAUUUGAACUUGCAUACUUAUUUUCAUGUUUUCCAUUUUUACAACAAAAAAGAAAAAAAAUUAAAACAAAUUUAGUCCUUUCAUUCAUUCCCCAGUGCUUU